CCAAUAGCGUAUAUUAAAGUUGUUGCAGUUAAAAAGCUCGUAGUUGAAUUUUAGGCCUGGCCGGGCGGUCCGUCUUUGGCGAGUACUGUUCUGUGUCGGGUCUUACCUUCUGGUGAACCGGCAUGUUCUUUAUUGAGUGUACCGGGGAGCCAGGACCAUUACCUUGAAAAAAUUAGAGUGUUUAAAGCAGGCAUUUGCUUGAAUAGAUUAGCAUGGAAUAAUAGAAUAGGACGUUGGUUCUAUUUUGUUGGUCUAGGACCACCGUAAUGAUUAAUAGGGAUAGUUGGGGGCAUUAGUAUUCAAUUGUCAGAGGUGAAAUUCUUGGAUUUAUUGAAGACUAACUAUUGCGAAAGCAUUUGCCAAGGAUGUUUUCAUUAAUCAAGAACGAAAGUUAGGGGAUCGAAGACGAUCAGAUACCGUCGUAGUCUUAACCAUAAACUAUGCCGACUAGGAAUCGGGCGACGUUAUUUUUAUGACUCGCUCGGCGCCUUAUG
rnacentral:ncRNA from 2 species